rnacentral:rRNA from 1 species
CCUGUUUGAUCCUGCCAGUAGCAUAUGUGUGUCUCAAAGAUUAAGCCAUGUACGUGUAAGUACAAACGACUGGUACAGUGAAUGGCUCAUUAAAUCAGUAAUGGUUCCUUUGAUCACUCCAUCCGUUACUUGGAUAACUGUGGUAAUUCUAGAGCUAAUACAUGCCGACGAGCGCGGACCUCGAGGAAUGCGUGCAUUUAUCAGACCAAGACCAAUCCGGGCUCGCCCGACCGCUUUGGUGACUCUAGAUAACUUCAGGCCGAUCGCACAUCCAUGUGACCGCGACUGUGCAUUCAGAUGUAUGCCCUAUCAACUUUCAAUGGUACUUUCUGUGCCUACCAUGGUGACCAUGGAGAAUCCGGGUUCGAUUCUGUAGAGGGAGCCUGAGAAAUGGCUACCACAUCAAGGAAUGCAGGAGGCACCCAAAUUACCCAAUCCCGACCCUGGGAGGUAGUGACGAAAAAUAACAAUACAGGACUCUUUCGAGGCACUGUAAUUGGAAUGAGCACACUUUAAAUCCUUUAACGAGUACCCAUUGGAGGGAAAGUCUGGUGCCAGCAGCCGCGGUAAUUCCAGCUCCAAUAGCAUAUAUUAAAGUCGCUGCAGUUAAAAAGCUUGUAGUUGGAUCUUGGGAUCGAGCUGGCAUCCGCCGCGAGGCGAGCUACCACUGCCUGUCCCAGCCCCUGCCUCUUGGCGCCCCCUUGAUGCUCUUGACUGAGUGUCCUGGGGGUCUGAAGCGUUUACUUUGAAAAAAGUACAGUGUUGAAAGAAGGCCGGUCGCCGGAAUACUUAAGCUAGGAAUAAUGGAAUAGGACACUGGUUCUAUUUUGUUGGUUUUUGGAACUGGGGCCGUGAUUAAGAGGGACGCUGGAGGCAUUCGUAUUGUGCCGCUAGAGGGUACAUUCUUGGACCAGCGCAAGACGAACCAAAGUGAAAGCAUUGGCCUAUAAAGUAUUCAUUAAUCUACUGUCGUAAGUUCCAAACAUAAAUAUGCAGAUUAGCGAUCUGGCGGAUUUAUUCCCAUGACCCGCUCGAGCAGCUUCCGGGAAACCAAGUUCUGGGUCGGGGGGGGGGGGGGAGUAUGGUUGCAAAGCUGAAACUUAAAGGAAUUGUUGGAAGGGCUCCACCAGGAGUGUGGGAGCCUGCAUCUUGAAACCUCACCCGACCCGGACACGGAAAAGAUUGUCAGAUUGAUAGCUCUUUCUCGAUUCUGUGGGUGGUGGUGCAUGGCCGUUCUUAGUUGGUGGAGCAAUUUGUCUGGUUAAAUCCGAUAACGAAUAAGACUCCUCCAUGCUAACUAAUUAUUUGCCAUGAACGAGGAAUUCCCAUUAAGUGCAGGUCAUAAACUUGCGUUGAUUAAGUCACUGCCCUUUGUACACACCACCCGUCACUACUACAGAUUGGAUGGGUUAGUGAGGUCCUCGGAUCGGCGAGAAGACUAUCAAACUUGACUAUCUAGAGGAAGUCGUACGGGUUGGGUUAACCUGCUGGGGACGUUCUG